AUUAUCACGAACUAUAGCAACACCAUCAUGAAAUCGAAGCAUUUGGUGUUUCUGGUUGUGAUAUGUGUAGCAUUUGUGUCGGGUCGGGGAGACACAGACUCGGAGCCACGGGCAUGGCGAGCACAAACUCAACCAGGCUUUAAUUAUUUCGUGUGCUGGCUUUGACCUGGCCUAGCCAAUUUUUCCUCUCGAAAACUUGCAAUCCCUCCUUGCCCAAGCAAUAUUUCACCAUCCAUGGACUCUGGCCUCAGUUCACUCCAAAAAAAUAUCCACAAUACUGCACAACCACCGAGCAGCUCACGGAUGAUAUCCUUGAACAGUUGAAGAAUGACUACGAACUGCUCACAUACUGGCCUGAUCUAAAGAAUGCAGAAGACUUUGAAAAGAGAAAGAGCUUUUGGAAAUACGAGUGGAAAAAGCAUGGAACCUGAUCUGCUAACAAGUUCACAGCCCUCCAGUACUUCCAGAGAAGCAUCGAUCUUGCCAAAAAGUACACAGACAAAAUCUCGCAGGCUCUGGAAAAGAGAGGUAUAAUUCAAUUCAAUACAGGGUGAGACCAAAUGGUGAUGCAUAUCGGAACUUGGACGUGCUUAACGCCGUACAUGAAGCUACGGGCUACGUUCCAACGCUAGGCGUCACCACUAGUGCUGCUGGUACUGCUCUGGCUGAGAUUCGUCUGUGCGUGAAAGACGACGCCGUUUCACUCUUCGAUUGUGAUACUGUCACAUUUACCGCUCCUCCUGUUGCAGCUCCUUCUCCAUCUCCGUCUCCAUCUUCUCUAUCCGCUCAUUUGCUUCCUCCAUAUUCUCGCUCUACCAGCUGGGCAUUAUCUAUCUUGGAAGCCGUCUACGAAGCAGCAGCAGGGUUCCUGUAAGCAUAAAGCACCGCUAUAAAUGAUCAGUAAUUAGUAUCCGCUAAAUUAAUAAAUAAAGGAAAUGAAAUGAUAAUUAUGAGGGUUUGUCUGGUGUAUCACACUGAUCAUCUACAACACCUUUGAUCCGUGGAUGCUCGUGGACGACAAAGAAAAAUAAUGUAAUAGCAAUAAUUGAUCAUUUCCAAUCACUCCGAGAUCAUGUGCGUAAUUACUAUUUCAUAUUGUUGUUCCUGCAACUUCAAAGCGGCCUCGUUAUUCUUUUGGCAACUCCAGAGGACCAGAAUAAAAUGAUUACAGCAAGACAGCGAGCUUGCAACUAUAAAACCGUGAAAUUGUCGGCUGCUUAUAGGAAAGAGCGCGCCCCACAUGAUCAUUAUAUUAUCAUAUCAUAUACCGACCAUGUUACACCAUAUUUAAUCUAACGACAGUCAAUAAGAAUGAACCCGCAACUUAUAUGUAAAAUGAUGACCAUGACGAUCUUAAUAAUCUAAUUAAUUUAUACAUAGUAAUUCGACAAUCGCACGCAAAUUAGACGUAACUCGCUUUGUUUAAUAAAAAUUGAUCACGUUUAAAAUGGCACCAUAACACACACACACACAAAAACACACUUUGGAUCAAGUGCCAAUGAACUGAAAUUAUAUAAUUCAAAAGAUGCCUGCAGCUUCAUCAGUUUUUAAUAAUUGAUGAUAUGAAGAAGCAUGUACAUGACCAUCUGCUCACUUGCUUGGAUCCCUAGGUCAUGUGCUUCUUCUUGCUUUAAUUUAUUCUUUUGAUCUCUGUUUUGAUCCCCACCCCCUUUCUGUUCUCAUCUCUCUCUUUGUUGUAGAG